UACGUAGGGUGCGAGCGUUGCCCGGAUUUAUUGGGCGUAAAGGGCGCGCAGGCGGCUCGGCACGUCCGUUGUGAAAUCGCCCGGCUCAACUGGGCGGGGUCAGCGGAUACGGUCGAGCUUGAGCAAGCUAGGGGGCAAUGGAAUUCCCGGUGUAGUGGUGGAAUGCGUAGAUAUCGGGAGGAACACCAGUGGCGAAGGCGGUUGCCUGGAGCUUUGCUGACGCUGAGGCGCGAAAGCGUGGGGAGCAAACAGG
rnacentral:rRNA from 1 species